CAGCAGCCGCGGGAAUACAGAGGGUGCAAGCGUUAAUCGGAUUUACUGGGCGUAAAGGGCGCGUAGGUGGUUAUUUAAGUGAGAUGUGAAAGCCCCGGGCUUAACCUGGGAACUGCAUCUUAUACUGGGUAACUGGAGUGCAGUAGAGGGUAGUGGAAUUUCCGGUGUAGCGGUGAAAUGCGUAGAUAUCGGAAGGAACACCAGUGGCGAGGGCGGCUACCUGGACUGAGACUGACACUGAGGCGCGAGAGCGUGGGGAGCAAACAGGAUUAGAUACCCCCGUAGUCCCUGUCUCUUAUAC
rnacentral:rRNA from 1 species